GAUGAACGCUGGCGGCGUGCCUAAUACAUGCAAGUCGAGCGAACGGACGAGAAGCUUGCUUCUCUGAUGUUAGCGGCGGACGGGUGAGUAACACGUGGAUAACCUACCUAUAAGACUGGGAUAACUUCGGGAAACCGGAGCUAAUACCGGAUAAUAUUUUGAACCGCAUGGUUCAAAAGUGAAAGACGGUCUUGCUGUCACUUAUAGAUGGAUCCGCGCUGCAUUAGCUAGUUGGUAAGGUAACGGCUUACCAAGGCAACGAUGCAUAGCCGACCUGAAAGGGUGAUCGGCCACACUGGAACUGAGACACGGUCCAGACUCCUACGGGAGGCAGCAGUAGGGAAUCUUCCGCAAAGGGCGAAAGCCUGACGGAGCAACGCCGCGUGAGUGAUGAAGGUCUUCGGAUCGUAAAACUCUGUUAUUAGGGAAGAACAUAUGUGUAAGUAACUGUGCACAUCUUGACGGUACCUAAUCAGAAAGCCACGGCUAACUACGUG
rnacentral:rRNA from 1 species